CCUACGGGAGGCAGCAGUGAGGAAUAUUGGUCAAUGGUCGCGAGCCUGAACCAGCCAAGUCGCGUGAAGGAUGACUGCCCUACGUGUUGUAAACUUCUUUUGUCAGGGAAUAAAGUCAGGCACGUGUGCCUGUUUGUAUGUACUUGAUGAAUAAGGAUCGGCUAACUCCGUGCCAGCAGCCGCGGUAAUACGGAGGAUGCGAGCGUUAUCCGGAUUUAUUGGGUUUAAAGGGAGCGUAGAUGGGUUGUUAAGUCAGUUGUGAAAGUUUGCGGCUCAACCGCAAAAUUGCGAUUGAUACUGGCAGUCUCGAGUAGAGUUGAGGUAGGCGGAAUGCGUGGUGUAGCGGUGAAAUGCUUAGAUAUCACGAAGAACUCCGAUUGCGAAGGCAGCAUACUAACCCGACACUGACAUUGAUGCACGAAAGUGUGGGUAUCAAACAGGAUUAGAUACCCUUGUAGUC
rnacentral:rRNA from 1 species